UACGUAGGGAGCAAGCGUUGUCCGGAUUUAUUGGGCGUAAAGAGCUCGUAGGCGGUUCGGUAAGUCGGGUGUGAAAACUCUGGGCUCAACCCGGAGAGGCCACUCGAUACUGCCGUGACUUGAGUCUGGUAGGGGAGCACGGAAUUCCUGGUGUAGCGGUGAAAUGCACAGAUAUCAGGAGGAACACCGAUGGCGAAGGCGGUGCUCUGGGCCAGUACUGACGCUGAGGAGCGAAAGCGUGGGGAGCGAACAGG
rnacentral:rRNA from 1 species